UCCGAGUUGACCCCGGCAGUCUCCUAUGAGUCCCCGGCUUGAACCGCUGGCAACAUAGGACAAGGGUUGCGCUCGUUGCGGGACUUAACCCAACAUCUCACGACACGAGCUGACGACAGCCAUGCAACACCUGUGACCAGGCCCCUUGCGGGGAAGCGGCGUUUCCGCCGCGGUCCUGGCCAUGUCAAGUCCUGGUAAGGUUCUUCGCGUCGCGUCGAAUUAAACCACAUGCUCCACCGCUUGUGCGGGCCCCCGUCAAUUCCUUUGAGUUUCAGCCUUGCGGCCGUACUCCCCAGGCGGGGUACUUCCUGCGUUAGCGCCGGCACCCAGAGGGUCGCCCCCCCAGGCACCUAGUACCCAUCGUUUACGGCGUGGACUAC
rnacentral:misc_RNA from 1 species